UUUAUCCGGGCUCAGGAUGAACGCGGGCGGCGUGCUUAACACAUGCAAGUCGAACGAUGAUCUCCAGCCUGCUGGGGGGAUUAGUGGCGAACGGGUGAGUAACACGUGAGUAACCUGCCCUUAACUCUGGGAUAAGCCUGGGAAACUGGGUCUAAUACCGGAUAUGACUCCUCAUCGCAUGGUGGGGGGUGGAAAGCUUUUUGUGGUUUUGGAUGGACUCGCGGCCUAUCAGCUUGUUGGUGAGGUAAUGGCUCACCAAGGCGACGACGGGUAGCCGGCCUGAGAGGGUGACCGGCCACACUGGGACUGAGACACGGCCCAGACUCCUACGGGAGGCAGCAGUGGGGAAUAUUGCACAAUGGGCGAAAGCCUGAUGCAGCGACGCCGCGUGAGGGAUGACGGCCUUCGGGUUGUAA
rnacentral:rRNA from 1 species